UUUCUUUCUCUUUCGAAAUAUAAAGGAUGAGAAUCAAUCAUGUACAGGAAAUAUAUCAUAUUCCUGUAAACUAAAUUGCUCUAAAGGAAAAUUUCAUACAGAAAUCCUAUCAUGUAGAAUUUGCUGAAAAAUUGCUGCAACAAUAGAAAUUACAAAUAAACAUAGGAUAGCAGCAUCUUUGUAUCAGUAUUCAAAGUAUCUUGUUCCGCGGUGCGCUAUGACAUGAUCAGCUGCUAAAACAAAAAUUCUCCACAAAGUCAAAAGAUACUAAACCGACAUGUAUCUUUAUCUUGGUCCAAGUGGUCCACCAUGAUGCUGUCUUCCUUUACUUCCUUGCACCAUCUUUUCCUGCAUGCCCCCACACCCACACACCCCCUGCUCUUGCCGUUGCCGUGCACGCUUCCGUCUCCUGCAGCGACACCGAUAGCCCCAAAGUUGUAAUAAGUCCCCUCGCAAGUGGCCAAAUUGUGGCCACAAAGACCUACCAGCUGAUCCCAUGAAUUGCAAUUACAUGGAGCAUAUGAACGCAAUGCCUCCUCUGUAGUUCACACGUGCCGAUUGCUGGCGCAGUGUGCAACCGCAAGGAAAGGGCGCCAUCCUCUCUUCAGAAACCAGAAGCAGGAUACAACACAAGGUAUGUGAUCCAAGCCUCCUAGAGUUGCUCUUUUGUAUUUGUGCACACCAAUACUUUGAAAAUAUCAUAGCGUGUGCACAGUUACAGAAAACACAUGUUCCGCAAUCCGCAUAAUCACUGCCAUCGACCAUCGCUCGAUACGGGCGCGAGCAGAUCCUGUGAAACAUGAAAAGAAUUUAUCAAGGACACACAUGUUCAAUAUAUAGUUAUAACAGGAAAAAAGGAAAGUUGGAACACAUGAAGUACUCGCUCCGUCAGGAAUUAGCUGAUGCUCAAAUGGAUGUAUCUAACACUGAUAUACGUCUAGAUACAUCCGUUUGAGCGUCAACUAAUUCCGGUCGGAAGAAGUAUUAUUUAAAAGAAAAAGAUCACAUAGAAGCAAGCACAAGGUCUGACUUUAUUAGAAAAUGAAUGUUUAAGCACGAGGGUAGCAAGAUAUCUUAGUUUCCGGAUGUUCUGGGAUGAUAUUGUUUAACAUACUGGAUGUGGCUUCACAUGGACAAAAAUAGACUUUUUCGUAACAAAAAAACUCAGUAAGUCCCAACAAUGAAAUUAGUGAAGCUUUGGCAAUAAGAUUAGUAGUCUUACAUUAAUCAGUUCACUGGUAUUGAGUGUAGCAUGUGGGAGUUAAUUAAAGCUGAAAUUUCUUCCAUGAUUUCCAGUGUCAUCGAUGUUCCCUGUUCUUCUGCUGCUUUUGUUGCCGUACAUACUCCAGUCGGCAUGGGCGAGAACAUUCAGUAACAUGACUGACAUGGAUACCUUGCUGGCAUUCAAGGCAAGUCUAAGCAACCAGCCAGGUGCCCUGGCUGCAUGGAACACAACUACUGAUUUCUGUUCGUGGCCAGGUGUCAGUUGCAGCCUCAAGCAUGAGCACAGGGUUACGGUGCUCAACCUCGCUUCGGAGGGUCUUGCCGGAACAAUAACACCAUCAAUUGGAAACCUCACAUUUCUGAAAAUACUAGACCUCAGCCAAAACAAUUUCCAUGGUGAAAUACCUGCAUCAAUUGGCUGUUUAUUUCGGCUACAACAUCUUAAUUUUUCCAGCAAUUCACUGGAUAGUGAUGUAAACCCGGACAUGAAGAACUGCUCCAGUCUUGAGAGCAUCGAUCUUGAUUUAAAUUUGCUCACCGGAGAAAUCCCUGCAUGGCUUGGAGGCUUGCCAAAUCUGAAGACCAUACAAUUGUAUAGGAACAACUUCACUGGGAUAAUCCCGCCAUCAAUUACCAACCUCUCAGCACUGCAAACAAUCGACUUCACCGCAAACCAACUCGAAGGUGUCAUCCCGGAGGGCCUUGGCAAGAUGACUAGUCUCUCCUCCAUUCAACUGAGUGAAAACCACCUCUCAGGCACUAUCCCUGCAGCUUUCUUUAACCUUUCCUCUCUAACCGUCUUCGCUGUGGCGGCAAAUAAGUUGCAUGGUAAACUGCCCUCGGACUUGGGGGUUCACCUCCCAAAUCUCAGGGCCCUACUCCUUGGCACCAAUAGGUUUACGGGAUACCUUCCAGCUUCUCUUGUAAAUGCAACUAAGAUUAAUAAACUAGACAUGUCGUUCAAUGGCUUCACCGGUAGAUUACCUCCGGAGAUUGGAAUGCUCUGCCCAAACUACCUCAGUGUUGCGGAAAAUCAGAUCAUGGCAAGUACUGCACAGGACUGGGAGUUCAUGACCUUGUUGACAAACUGCACACGCCUUCGUGUAUUAAAGCUUGAGGGAAACAUGCUAGGUGGCGUGUUGCCAAGCUCUGUUGGCAACCUAUCAGCACAACUUCAAGUACUUUAUGUUGGAUAUAAUAUGAUUUCUGGAACAAUACCAUUUGGCAUAAGCAAUCUUAUCAGACUAAAUUAUUUAACACUCUCUCACAACCAAUUUACUGGUGUCUUGCCUGAAAGCAUGGGAAGGCUAAAUUUGCUACAAGCCUUGUUUAUGCAUGAUAAUAUGUUGACAGGGUUCAUUCCAUCCUCCCUUGGGAACAUGACACAGCUACUAAGUCUUGGCGCAUGGAGUAACAAGUUUGAGGGGCCUCUUCCAGCAAGCUUAGGGAGCCUCAAGGAGAUAACUGGAAUCGACUUAUCAUAUAAUAAGUUCACAGGUCCAUUGCCUAAAGAGAUCUUUAACCUAUCGUCCCUGUCGAACACACUAGAUUUGGUAGGCAAUUACUUUGCUGGUCCUCUUCCACCUGAAAUUGGCGGUCUGACAGCACUUGCAAACUUGUACCUCUCUCAGAACAACUUAUCUGGGACACUGCCCAAUGAACUCAGCAAUUGUCAAAGUUUGGUAACACUCUUGUUGGACCAUAACUCCUUUAGUGGUACUAUUCCCUCAUCUAUCAGCAAAAUGCGAGGCUUGGCAUUUCUAAAUCUUACCAAGAACACACUCUCCGGUGAGAUUCCUCAAGAAUUCAGACUCAUGGGAGGGAUUCAAGAGUUGUAUCUUGCACACAACAACUUGUCUGGUCAUAUUGCUGAAAGCUUGGAAAACAUGGCAUCAUUGUACCAAUUAGACUUGUCCUUCAAUAAUCUGGAUGGCGAAGUUCCAUCGCAGGGUGUGUUUAGUAAUGUGACUGGAUUUCUAUUUGAAGGGAAUUCAGGGCUUUGUGGUGGUAUUUCAGAAUUACAUUUGCCCCCAUGCCUGCCAGAAUCAAUGGAACACACCAUGAGAAAACGCAAUUUGAUUAUCACAAUAGCUACCCCAAUUGCUGGCAUAAUUCUAUGCUUGUGUGUGGUGCUUGUUUUCUUCACAAUAAGAAAGAAAUCAAAAGAUCGGUCCAAAACCAUGGGAGGAUUUCAACUUAUGGAUGACAAUUAUCCUAGAGUUACUUAUGCUGAAUUGGUCCAAGGAACAAGUGGCUUUGCUACAGACAAUUUGAUUGGUAGAGGACGAUAUGGAUCAGUGUAUAAGUGUAGUUUGCUGCUAAACACCAUGAUGACCACAGUAGCUGUGAAGGUGUUUGAUCUUCAGCAGUCUGGAUCUUCCAAAAGCUUUCUAGCUGAAUGUGAGGCACUUGGUAGGAUCCGCCAUCGAAAUUUGAUUAGUGUCAUAACUUGCUGCUCAAGCUCUGACUCAGACCAAAACGACUUCAAGGCCCUUGUGUUGGAGUUCAUGCCUAAUGGGAGCCUGGAUAGGUGGUUACACAUUGAUGUACAUGCAUCACAGCAACUGCAAGGUUUGACAUUGAUGCAGAGAUUAAAUAUUGCAGUUGAUAUCGCUGAUGCAUUAGAUUAUUUGCACAACAACUGUGAACCACCAAUAAUUCACUGUGACUUGAAGCCAAGCAACAUUCUUCUUAACGAGGAUUUAGUUGCGCACAUUGGGGACUUCGGCCUUGCAAAGAUUCUUUCUGAACCAGCAGCGGAGCAGCUGAUUAAUUCAAAGAGCUCCAUUGGAAUAAGAGGAACGAUUGGAUAUGUAGCUCCAGGUAGCUCAAAUUUUCUAACAUUACAUUCCACAACAUACAUUUUUGCAUGCAAAAUGACUAUAUUUGUCUACGAUAUGUAGAGUAUGGCGAAGGUGGUCAAGUUUCUUCAUGUGGAGAUGUAUAUAGCUUCGGAACUGUCAUCCUCGAGUUGUUUACAGGCAUGGCACCAACUCAUGAUAUGCUCAGAGACGGGUUAACCUUGCAUAAGCAUGCCGAGAAUGCAUUUACAGGGAUGCUAAUGCAGAUUGUUGAUCCAGUACUACUUUCCAUUGAAGAAGCCAAUCUGACUAGUCUGCAGGAUGGAAGCAACACAAUGGAACAUGGCAGCAAUGCCAUAUUGUCUGUCAUGAAGGUUGCGCUAUCAUGCAGCAACCAUGCACCAACAGAGAGGAUGUGCAUGAGAGAUGCUGCUGCUGCGAUUCGCAGGAUAACGGAUAGCUAUGUUAAAAAUAAGACAAACUGAGGAAGUUGUUGCAACUGCAUAUAACACAAAGCAUUUUGCUGAAACAAGAUCAGCACCUGAAACAUCCAGGUCAGCCCCCCUGAAGUGGCGUCAUGCUUAAUUUGCUUUGUAGUGGUUAUGUUUUGCAUUCCAAGUGUGGUGUUGUAUAUGUUAGUUUCUGCCUAGCCAUUAUCUUUUAGUUACAUACAUAUGUAAUUUGUUCAGAGAGGUCCAACGAGUGUUGAAGGCCUUAGCCUAGGCCAAGUCGGGCUUCCGAGCCUACUCUCUAAAAAGCAUAGUUUUAAAUAGCCGGCUAUAGCCCCGCUAUAGCUGUUUGAGGGUGUUGCCGCUAAAUGAUUUCAUGUACAAUUUGCCACUAUAGCUCCGCUAUAGCCUACUAUAGCCCAGCUAUAGCUGUUUUUAAGGGUCGCCGCUAAAUGCCAUAGCCCGCUAUUUAAAGAGUUGUGUAAAUGGAAGGCGGAUACAAGUCGCAUCUGGGUUGAGUUUGAAUAAGACAUUAUAUCUCAUCAGAUUUUAAAUUGGUGUUGUAUUGCAUUUGAGUUGGGAUGUAUCGGACCCGUCCGAUGUUGUUCUUGACUAGUUUUUCUAGUGGAACUUGUUCUAUCUAACUGUGUUUAAUCUUCUGAUGUAUGACGCGCAAAGCUUUUGUGUGUUUACAAAAAAAAGGGGGGGGGGGGAUUCAAUAUGCAUAUCUUCUAUUCUACAAAAAAAAAGAUGGAGAAAGGAUAUUCAAUACUCACCAUACUUCAGGAGGUCAUCACAACACCAUCUCAAGUGCAAUGCCAGUCUGGUCCGGGUGGCGCUUGCUCCGGUCGUGAAGGCACUUCAGACUUCAAGGUUAGGAACCCCACAUGCACUACCUGGCAUAUAAUUAAGACAGAGACUAUAAGCAUCAUAUUCGGGAUUAUUUUCCAACGUCUAUCAGUGGGGCUAAUGUAACUUCUCCGUACAAGUUCCGAGGCAUUCAUGGUUAUGCAACACCCUGUGCGCACAUAAAUACCAUACCAGCCUCCAUCUUCCGUCCUUAACAGGCUUAGCAUCGCAG
rnacentral:lncRNA from 1 species